rnacentral:rRNA from 1 species
UGGCGGCAGGCCUAACACAUGCAAGUCGAGCGGUAACAGGAAAGUAGCUUGCUACUUUUGCUGACGAGCGGCGGACGGGUGAGUAACGCGUAGGAAUUUGCCCAGUAGUGGGGGACAACAUGUGGAAACGCAUGCUAAUACCGCAUACGCCCAUAAUCUCUACGGAGGAAAGGGGGCUUCGGCUCCCGCUAUUGGAUGGGCCUGCGUCGGAUUAGCUAGUUGGUGAGGUAAUGGCUCACCAAGGCGACGAUCCGUAGCUGUUCUGAGAGGAUGAUCAGCCACACUGGGACUGAGACACGGCCCAGACUCCUACGGGAGGCAGCAGUGGGGAAUAUUGGACAAUGGGGGCAACCCUGAUCCAGCCAUACCGCGUGUGUGAAGAAGGCCUUCGGGUUGUAAAGCACUUUCAGCGAGGAGGAAAGGUUAUCGGUUAAUACCCGGUAGCUGUGACGUUACUCGCAGAAGAAGCACCGGCUAACUCCGUGCCAGCAGCCGCGGUAAUACGGAGGGUGCAAGCGUUAAUCGGAAUUACUGGGCGUAAAGCGUUCGUAGGCGGUUAUUUAAGCAAGAUGUGAAAGCCCAGGGCUCAACCUUGGAACUGCAUUUUGAACUGGGUAACUAGAGUACUGUAGAGGGUGGUGGAAUUUCCAGUGUAGCGGUGAAAUGCGUAGAUAUCUGAAGGAACACCAGUGGCGAAGGCGACUCUCUGGACCAAUACUGACGCUGAGGUGCGAAAGCGUGGGUAGCAAACGGGAUUAGAUACCCCGGUAGUCCACGCCGUAAACGAUGUCAACUAGCCGUUGGGGACCUUGAGGUUUUUGUGGCGCAGCUAACGCAAUAAGUUGACCGCCUGGGGAGUACGGACGCAAGUUUAAAACUCAAAUGAAUUGACGGGGGCCCGCACAAGCGGUGGAGCAUGUGGUUUAAUUCGAUGCAACGCGAAGAACCUUACCUGGUCUUGACAUCCUGCGAACUUACUAGAGCUAGAUUGGUGCCUUCGGGAACUCUGAGACAGGUGCUGCAUGGCUGUCGUCAGCUCGUGUUGUGAAAUGUUGGGUUAAGUCCCGUAACGAGCGCAACCCUUAUCCUUAUUUGCCAGCACGUAAUGGUGGGAACUCUAAGGAGACUGCCGGUGACAAACCGGAGGAAGGUGGGGACGACGUCAAGUCAUCAUGGCCCUUACGAGUUGGGCUACACACGUGCUACAAUGGCCGGUACAGAGGGCUGCAAACCCGCGAGGGGGAGCCAAUCUCACAAAACCGGUCGUAGUCCGGAUCGGAGUCUGCAACUCGACUCCGUGAAGUUGGAAUCGCUAGUAAUCGUGAAUCAGAAUGUCACGGUGAAUACGUUCCCGGGCCUUGUACACACCGCCCGUCACACCAUGGGAGUGGAUUGCACCGUGAGUAGCUAGCUUAACCUUCGGGGGAGCGGUUACCACGGUGU